rnacentral:rRNA from 1 species
CACGUAGGGCGCAAGCGUUUGUCCGGAAUUAUUGGGCGUAAAGAGCUCGUAGGCGGUCUGUUGCGUCCGCUGUGAAAUCUCGGGGCUUAACCCCGAGCCUGCAGUGGAUACGGGCAGACUAGAGGUAGGUAGGGGAGAAUGGAAUUCCCGGUGUAGCGGUGAAAUGCGUAGAGAUCGGGAGGAACACCCGUGGCGAAGGCGGCCAACUGGGCCGACCCUGACGCUGAGGCGCGAAGGCGUGGGGAGCGAACGGG